ACAGUUUAUCCUCACCCAGUGUGUGUCUCGUUGUCGUCGUCAUUUUUGCAUCUAGUUCAGUGGCAUUCAGUUCAGUGCAAGUGGUUUCUCAGCGUGAAGUUGUUUUAAGCAAAUAAAUUGGUCGGUUGAUGUUAAAAGUUUGUACAAUUCUGCAGAAAGACCCCAUAGAAGGUGUAAAAGUUUAAAAAAUAGGGAGGCUACAGUGUGUGGCAAGCAUAUUUUGAACUAAUAGUCGUGUAAUUCUAGUAGUUUUUAUGGUGCAUCAUACAUGAAAAAGCUCUAUUUGGAUUGCCGAGCAACAAAAUAAGAGUUAUUCCUAGCAAAAUUAAGCAUCUAGUACUGCUCAGUUCAAUGUUCUCCGUAUAUCUUACAAAAAGAAGGCCUCUCACAUAUUUACCAAAGCUGUCGUAUAACAUUUUACAAGGAUAAAAGUGUAUAUGCUCAUUUUCUGUACAACACAUUAUCCCCGUGCGCAAACUAAUUCAAAGGGUAAUUUUUCUGCCUCAUCGUUGAGAAGAAGGAGUGGUAAAUUUUGAACGAGCUGGAAUGUAUGCUGUAUUAAGGUUUUGGUGUUAGUGCCGAACAGGAUUUGGAUACAGCACGCAUGUGCAGUAACAUUUUGUCCUUCCUCUAGUGUGUAGUUUCCAUUUUAUGCUGUCCUGUACUUUUGAUGGAGGCUUCAUAUUUUACACGCCCUGCACAGAUUUACAGCUAGCCAUAAAACAGUUUUGUUACACUUUCUCCACGAGUUGUAAUGCUUUCAAAAGCAUAUCAAAAUGAACGAUUCAUAUUAAUCAGAAUCUCAUCAAUAAGCAAACUUACCUCCGCUUCCCUGUGAGUCUUUAAAAAAAGUAGCUUGUUGUCAAUAUUGAUUUCACAUAAAAUUCCUACCCUCACUAAUACACUGCAAGCUUGUACGUGCUAGCAGAUCCUCAACAACGUUCCCGAUCCCGAAGCACACGAAGAUUGCGCAAAACCGAAGGUUUUUCCUUUAAAGCGUUUCAGGAUAUUAACGGAUUUUCAUCUGUCAUCAAUCUAUCCACAGUGGCUUUAGUCAUUCCUCAUUCGUAUGGUGAUUAAAACCAGUCCUUAUUAAAGAGUUUUUUAUGAACUCAAACCCAUUGAUUGAGAAGCACAGAUUCGUCAACAACUGAUCAGGUAUUUGCAAAUCAAUAAGAGUGUAAUUAUUUCCUUGAUUUUUUGAGUUCAUCCACCUUCUAAGCAGCUUUUGCAGCUGUAAUAAAAUCUUCCGACUAGUUCCUCUAUAUUUUUUGCUAACAAAAUGUGUGUCGUGUUCUCGAUGUAGAGCAACACAUGAUCCAUAAAUUAGAGUUCCAAUAUGAGAGAAUAAAAAAUGUGCCUGCCCUUGCAACACCCUAUGCCUGCCGAUCUUGCUGUUCAUGCAACCCGUACUCUUCUUUCCCAACACAUCACGAGGCUGUGAUAGUUGUUGAUUUUUGUUGUUAGACAGCCUGAGGUAGUCCAUUUUCUGGCACUUUUUCCUUUUCCUUCUUCCAAAUCGGACUACCAUCGGUACAAACGUGUGUCUGUGUGUCCCCAACGUCCGGCAAACAGUUCAAUGCGAACAGCAAAUUUUGUUAGGUAACCAUUUAACACCUAUCCCAAGCUCAUACUUUUUAUCCAUACAUUGUGUAUCAGAUGUGAUAGCCAGGGCUGUCUUCUAAAAAGUAAGAAACAUAUCGACCAAAGAAAUAUGGCAAAUAGAAUUUACCUUUCAUUUCGCACUUUAUAUAAUAUGGUGUAGUUUGUGGAUCGUUCAUAUCAUCCAUAUCAUUUUUUUGUCAUUUGCCUUACCUUAUGAUUACGCAGUACAUUUCUUAAAUAAAGUUUUAUAAUAACUAGGAAAGUUUCAAAAUUGUACCGCAUCACUCUUAUAACAUUUUGUGAGAAUGAUUAUUACGCAUGCGCUACCAAUAUUAAAACUAAAAUUGAGAGAGACCAAACGAUUUUUUUUCAAUAAUUUUUCAUACCACUGUAAAGAGCUUAGUCAUGACAGAUUGUAAAAUAUCGAAAGUUUAUGAAAAGAUAUAUUACUAGGUGAAAAGCUUUAAAACAGUUAUGCUGUAAUGUACCACUUAAGUGAGGCAUAAGGUGAGUGUCCAUAGCAGUUAUACAGACACACAUAUAUUAUUUCUUCUCCCGAGCUUGGGAUUGUUUCAGGUAUGAAUCUUCUGGUGGACUUCCUAUUCAAGUACAGUGGGUAAAGUGUAUGUUGAAAAAUAUACAAGUAAUUGUUUGUGCUACAAACAAUCGACACAAAAUAAACAAUAACACACUGCUUCAACAAAACUCUGCUCUGCAGUGAUGAAGCGCACUACAUAACAACAUGAGGAUAAUCUGUUUUUAAUUGAAAGAUUAUCUUGGUGGUCACGUGACAUUUGUAAUGCAGAAAGUGUUAAAGAUUAAGGAAGAGCUCCGUAGGAAAUGCUACCUGCACAUGGACAUUUGCCUGCCUUCGUUUUCCCACGGUGGUGGGUGAUGUUUGUGUACCUAUUAUUUCACAAUAAGAAACUAUCUUUUAAUUUAUACAUUUUUUAUUACAUUAUUAUAUUCCUUUAUUACAUGCAAAAAUAUCAUUCUUUAUUGUUAGAUAUAAAACUAUAUCUAUAACUAUAAGAUAUAAACAGGCAGCAUAUCACAGGCUUCAUACUGUACUUCGUUUCAAAAGAUUCGUCUGCUAACAUAAAACUAGGUGGUACCAGGCUUCAUCCUUGGCAAACAUGAGCAAUUCGGGUUUGCGUUUAACGAACGCACUUGGCCUCGAAACAAGGGAAACCCCCUAUGUUAAAAGCACAGCUAGGGUAAAAUUAUCUUCGGCCAUUACUUUUUUUCUAUCCGCUCUGUUUCAGCACGGUCGGUAAAAGGCGCAAUUUUACCUUUACAUCACAUCACCACUACUAUCACAUCGACGAUUCUCCGAAACUCAGGACACAUGCGCGACGAAGGCAAACGGACAUGCUGGAAAGGCCCUUGUUUCUCUUUAUAGCACUGGAAUAGAAGCUCACUAACGUGAAACUAAAUCUGGAAAAGAGCGUCUGUUAUUUGACUAUUCCAGUUGUACAGUUCUGCAGUUCGGCGAGAACUUUCCACUCAUCUUUGUUAGCAAUGUAUCGAUAAGCUUUGCAACAUAUAAUCUACUCCUGUACUUCGUUUCAGGGUGGUCAGGAUGGAGCUUCAACAUUGUAAAAAAAUGAUAAUCUUGUAUAAUAUUCUUGAGCAUAAAGCAUAACAGAUAUUUCAACGAUCAAUGUACCUUAUAACUGUUCUCUUUUAUUUAUUUUAGCACCGACAUGCCAAUAAAAUAAACGAAGACAGAGCAACAAAUUUAACUGAACUGAACGUACGGACUCUCUCACUCAUACACACACACACACACACACACACACACACACACAUGCGAAGCGAACAGAAAAGGGAGUUUGAAAAUGGACUUCUGCUACAUUUCUUUGGGUGUGUGUAUGUGUGAAGCAUUCAAAAGAACGUGCAACGCAUACACAAACCCGGUUCACCCUAAGGAUCUUUCAAUUGCAUCCUGGCGUUUCCCCUUGGCAUAAAAAUGGAAUUCUCCAUACUUCAGUUCCAAUCGACCCUUUUGAAAAGGCAGGCAUCUGGAACGAGCAACAAAACAUAUACUCUGCUCUCUGUCUGAUACAUCGGGGGAACACUGGAUGCCGGUUAACUGUUAAUCAACACAAUGGAGGAAGUUAGUUCCUAUGUUUUGAGAGAGUAUUAUGCCUUCAACCAAGUUUGUCGUCCGAGUUUGAUCCAUUGGAAACAGUUAAACUUUUGGAGUUGGUUAUGAAUAGCCGUAUAACCGAAAUUGGACCGAAAAUUCAACAUACAAUGUAUUACUGCAUUGUAGACCCGAAUGAUAAAAUCGGCUGAACUAGACAUUCUUUUUCAUAAGAACAUAUAACGCAGUAGCUGACCGUUUCUAAGCAGACUAAUUUAUAUCAUCAAUCAUCAUCAUGAAUAUCUUUAGUUGUGACACAUUUCACAAUUGAGUGCAAUUCGUAUUCGGUUUGAGAUAUUUUCCUCUCCAAAUUAUAAUCACAGUUUCUUGUGUUAAUUAUAUCUUAAAUAUUCGUGUAUUAUACAGAUUCCAUAGCUAAAAAAUUUACUUGUUAGCAUAACUUUUUCAAAAUUACUAAACAGAAAUGAAAAUAUGAAAUGAAUGAGAUGAAAAUAAAAUCUACAGCCAUCAUACUAACAAAAAUGUUGAUUGAUACGUGUUUCAAAUGCAAAAUGAGUCUUAAUUUUUGCUUUUAGAAUUUUGAUUUAAUUUUUUUUCAAAUCAUUGCUAUUACGUCAUGUUGAGCUAUUUUUAAACUUUACUACUACCACUAGACAAUAUCGUAUGAUAAAGUUAUUUCUUUUUGAUUAAUUAAACAUUUGAGCACCUGAAAAGACGAUAAACAUAUCCUCAAUACAUCUGUAACUGUAUUCAAUUUCAAUCGUUGUUUAUGAUGUAUGAACCUUACGAGGCCUUGGCUUGUUACCUCAAAUUUCCACGAGUUGAUGUUGCCCUUAGCUUGAUAGCCAUUGCCGCCUACGGCUUCAUUGAUGUUUUAUCAUUGAUGCAAGACUUUUAAAUAUGUAUUUUGACUAGCAGUAAUCAAAAUAUAUUAAAUAAAAGCAACUAAUGUUAUUUACUUAAUUAUUUAAGUUUUAUUAUGACGAUUUGACGCCGUAUUGUCAGGUAACUAAUGUUAGAGUGAUGAAAAAAAAAAACAAGCGUUAAACCAUUAUGAACUGCAAAGUCGGCCUACAAUAUAAUAGGAAAAAAGAUUACAUUCAAAGCAUAACUGUUUGAUUGAUAGCCUGUCGCGAAUAAAUAAUGUUGUUAAAUAAUAUUAUGCAUUAAACGAACACUCCUUCUUUCCUCUAGCUAUAGAUCUAUCAAAGAGUCAAUUCAUUAAAAUCUGAUUAUGUUAUCAACGUCUUGAAAAGGUAGAAACCAGGCACCCAAACAAAUAUAUAAGGCGUUCUUCUCUCCAAAAAAGUUGUUAAUCAAAUCGAACAUUUCCCGCUUCUUAUUAACGACCUGCUAGGUCAUCUCUGGCCAUGUAAAGUCUCACCAGACUUUUUAGAACUAUACAGUUGGAAAGUCAGUCCUCACAAUGGAAGAACAGUCCGCAUGAAAACGUAUCUACACAUAGUUACUAACCACAACUAUGUUUUAGAUGCUUUCCACGUGCAUCUCAAAUGGUUGAAGUUUAGUAUUUACAUACAAUAGAAUAGCGUCACACAUUUUCAAAAAGCUGCCGACUUAUAUGUCUCUUGGGUUAAAGGGGUGAAUUUAUUAAAUGUUUCUAGUAAGCCGAAUAGUUUUGCAAACAAACAUUAACCAUACAGCUCUCGCUACUUUACACGAUGUCCCUCUAUUUCUAUUCAGCAUUCGUCGACGUCAUUGAUAAGAAAGGAUAUUCUCUUAAUGGCUUGAUUUAUAACGUGAUCAAUUAAAGCAUCAAAGCAAAUUUAUUGCAUGUACAUAGCUAACUGAAAUCAAACUCUCACACACCCGGACAGGACUUCAAUAUUGAGAGGUUUUGUCACUUUCAACACAUCAGAACAACACCUAUAUGCGAACAAUAAUGCCGUAUUAUCAUCGUCCAAACACCCAAAACCAUUUACCAAACAUAUACAUACAACAACCGAUAAGUAUAGUUAGUUCCCGACAAAAUUUUAUUUGCCACUACGUUGUCGAACAGUUCAAAUAAGUUUAAAUAUCUUCAAGCCAUCGUUCAACAUCAGUCUUGAUUCGUAUUAUCUAUCAGUUCUGCGUUGCAGGGAGUUCUUUUUAAGUUAAUUUUUUACAAUCGACAUAGUAAAUCUACUUAAAGUUAAGUAUAAUAAUUAUGUCUGAUUGGAUAUGACUGGAGUUUCAUCUACCUCUGGAACUGAUGAAAUGAUGAAUUGAAAACUGAGAAGGAACGGCGACAAAUCGGAAGCUAUUAUCUGUUACAAGAUUUUGUGGUUUUGUGUGUUAUAAACUAACUGGUAGCAACUUAAUUAUCAUGGAGUAUAAAGGUUGUACAAAUAACCUAUAUCGCCUUCAACUAUGUACUUUUAAAACUAUCAGAAUAGUGUAUUGUAGCUGAAACAAACAUUUGUAAUUAAACCUUUAAUGCCAGUUAUUUGCGCACAAAAGCGGUCGUUUAAAUAAUACUUAACCAUUAGGUCAGAUUGCGUUUAAAUGUAAGAGGAGAAAACCUAUAGUAGCUGGGAUGUAAGAAUGUUUAGGUUUUAAUGUUUUAAUUUUAUUGAAAAAAGCUUCUAGAUCAUUACAGAACAGCUACAUAGCAACAUAAUUAGUUGAAUUAGAAUUAUUAGUCAAGAUAAUUACCAAAUUAUCUUCCGAAUGUGAAGAUAGCUCAUCAAUCCCCUCACUACAAAAAAAAUAAUCAAAAAUGUACAAGUAAAAAUAAGCAAAAACUUCAACUCUGUUAUCUGCAUCAUUAAAGCUGGUAUAGAAUGUCACAACACAAAAAUGAAUUGAUAAUUCCAUUGGUUCAAGAAAGCUUAAUAAUUGUUCUUCUUCUUCCUUGGCACUACAACCUCGAGAGGUCUCGGCCUGCUAUUUCUGGCUUUCCGUAGCAAAGUAGUCAGCCCAGCGUAGGGGGAGGCGGUCUGGAUGUAAUUUGAACCUCGGUCCUUUAUCACCUCGGCCACCGGACCGCCCCAGUUUAUUAAUUACGUAAGUUUAAUCAGAAAGUACUCGCUUUUGAUCUGAGCUUCUAAACAACAGUUUGCAUUAUUUUCCACUCCAUUCUUGCAGAAUUUCAACAGUUUGGACGUUGUGAGUAGUAACAAUAAUUCGAAAUAUAUGUGCUUGUCUAUAAUACUUCUCUCUGCAGAAAAUUUUGUGGAAUUAUUAGCAAUUUAAUUUAACGAUAGAUAAAUAUCCAGCCCAUCUAUCCUUUUAUCUUAAUUAUGAAUGCUAAGUGAAUUAAAUUUGACGCUGGGCUGAUUAUUCAAAUGAAUGUAAAAUGGAAGAAGGUUAUAAAGGAAGUCCCAGUUGAUGAUGCUUGGAUAAAACAAAACUUCAUAAAAAAGUGGAAAACUUCAUUCAAGCUCUUCUAUAUACACUUUGUGAUGUUGGCCUGUUGAAGAAGCCUGCGGUUGAAAUACAGACAACCCGCUAUCCUUCAUUGAAUUCUUCCUAAUCGAUGCCACAAAUGCUUCCACUCAUCUAAAAUUGGUUUCAGCAUGCCACCUGACUCCAGCUGCCUUUCCAGUGCCUUUCGAACAACUUGAUGAUUGCAGUUCGCGACGUAAUAGGAAAACAUCACACAAACGUCCUGUACAAGAUAUUAUAUGUAACAUGUAUUUCAAGUAUCAAAUGAGAAAUCAGCAAUACGACCCGUAGCCGUUUCUCAUGAAUGGAUAAAUAAAAAAAAA